rnacentral:tRNA from 1 species
GACACUUUGGCCGAGUGGUUAAGGCGGUGCCCUGCGUAAGUUGUCUCUCGCACCGCUCCGAAUCGAACCUAUUUCUAAUGACCUCAGUAGUAAGGCAUUACAUUCGUGUGCGUAGGUUCGAAUCCUGCAGGUGUCG